rnacentral:rRNA from 1 species
GGAAUUUUCUGCAAUNGNCGAAAGCCUGACAGAGCAAUACCGCGUGAGGKRAGRAGGCUUACUGAGUUGUAAACCUCKUUGCCUUAAGRAARAAGAUCUGACGGUACUUAAGGUGGAAAGCAUCGGCUAACCCCGAUGCCAGCMGCCGCGRAUAUAGACGGGRGAUGCMAGUGUUAUCCGGAAUCACUGGGCGUAAAGCGUCUGCAGGUGGUUUCCUAAGUCCACUGUUAAACCUUGAGGCUCAWCCUCAAAUCUGCAGUGSUAAACUAUGGGAACUUGAGGAUAGUAGGGGUAGAGGGAAUUUCCAGUGGAGCGGUGAAAUGCSUAGAUAUUGGAAAGAACACCGUAUGGCGAAGGCACUCUACUGGGCUAUGACUGACACUCAGAGACGAAAGCUAGGGGAGCAAAUGGGAUUAGAUACCCCAGUASUCCUACGCCGUAAACGAUGGAUACUCGAUGUUGGACGUAUCGACCCGUUCAGUAUCUUAGCUAACCGCGUUAAGUAUCCCGCCUGGGGAGUACGCUCGCNAGAGUGAAACUCA